CUGGGCUGACCAGAGUGCUGCCUGAGUGCAUUCUGCCAGGUAACAUGCUCUGGCCAGCAAGGCACAACGGGACUCGAGUCCACGGGAACCUGGGAACCUGGAAUGAAUGAGAUAAGCGACACGAGAGAGAUGGGCAGCAGGACAGCAUGGCUGAUCGAGCUGCGUUUAAUGAGGUUUAAAUGGGGGAAAUGAGGUUGCGGAAGCAGUAACAACUGCAGACAAGAAGAGACUUUCCAGCUAGCUGAGCAGCCUACAAGCCACACAGAGAGCUCCGGGACUGCAGCCUUUCAGCUGCCAGGAUCCUGCAGAGCGCCUGUACUCAACUACAGAGGGGUUUCCGAUGCGCUCCGCUCACGUGACUGCCGGUGGCAUCUCUCAGACACACAGCGGAAUUUAUUGCCACACUCGGGAGGGCAGAUGGUGCCUCCGCACAAAAGGCCACGGUCACACCAGAGCCCCAACAGUUCAAAGAAGAGUGAGAAGCAAGAAUGCCUCUGUUCCUUUCUUAACAAUUGAUACCCAUCCUCACUCCUGUGUGGUGUCUUCAUAAAGUACCAACUUCCUUUAAGGACAAAAGAAAAUACGUUUUUCUAGCAAUACACAGGGGUGCAGUUUCAUAGGAUUACCAACCACGGACCAUGGAAGCAAGGCAGGAUUGAUGGCCGCAGGACCAUGCAGCCAGAUAAUAUCACGGUGGCAACACAGAUGGCCAGGUUGCAACCAGGGCUGGCUUCUAACCAUCCCCAACACCCUUCUUCUACCAGCUAGACUUUACUUCUUAUUAUUCUACACUCUCCUGAAAGUGUGUCACAUUUUGGUGACCAAGUGACCAAACACAUGAGCCUA